GAAGCAACAAAUGCCCUGCUUCCAGGAAAAGCCUCUAAGCAUCAGGUAACAUCAAAUCGUACCCCAAACCGACACAGGUGGUCAGGUAGAGAAUACCAAGGCGCUUGAGAGAACUCGGGUGAAGGAACUAGGCAAAAUGGUGCCGUAACUUCGGGAGAAGGCACGCUGAUAUGUAGGUGAAGCGACUUGCUCGUGGAGCUGAAAUCAGUCGAAGAUACCAGCUGGCUGCAACUGUUUAUUAAAAACACAGCACUGUGCAAACACGAAAGUGGACGUAUACGGUGUGACGCCUGCCCGGUGCCGGAAGGUUAAUUGAUGGGGUUAGCGGUAACGCGAAGCUCUUGAUCGAAGCCCCGGUAAACGGCGGCCGUAACUAUAACGGUCCUAAGGUAGCGAAAUUCCUUGUCGGGUAAGUUCCGACCUGCACGAAUGGCGUAAUGAUGGCCAGGCUGUCUCCACCCGAGACUCAGUGAAAUUGAACUCGCUGUGAAGAUGCAGUGUACCCGCGGCAAGACGGAAAGACCCCGUGAACCUUUACUAUAGCUUGACACUGAACAUUGAGCCUUGAUGUGUAGGAUAGGUGGGAGGCUUUGAAGUGUGGACGCCAGUCUGCAUGGAGCCGACCUUGAAAUACCACCCUUUAAUGUUUGAUGUUCUAACGUUGGCCCGUUAUCCGGGUUGCGGACAGUGUCUGGUGGGUAGUUUGACUGGGGCGGUCUCCUCCUAAAGAGUAACGGAGGAGCACGAAGGUUGGCUAAUCCUGGUCGGACAUCAGGAGGUUAGUGCAAUGGCAUAAGCCAGCUUGACUGCGAGCGUGACGGCGCGAGCAGGUGCGAAAGCAGGUCAUAGUGAUCCGGUGGUUCUGAAUGGAAGGGCCAUCGCUCAACGGAUAAAAGGUACUCCGGGGAUAACAGGCUGAUACCGCCCAAGAGUUCAUAUCGACGGCGGUGUUUGGCACCUCGAUGUCGGCUCAUCACAUCCUGGGGCUGAAGUAGGUCCCAAGGGUAUGGCUGUUCGCCAUUUAAAGUGGUACGCGAGCUGGGUUUAGAACGUCGUGAGACAGUUCGGUCCCUAUCUGCCGUGGGCGCUGGAGAACUGAGGGGGGCUGCUCCUAGUACGAGAGGACCGGAGUGGACGCAUCACUGGUGUUCGGGUUGUCAUGCCAAUGGCACUGCCCGGUAGCUAAAUGCGGAAGAGAUAAGUGCUGAAAGCAUCUAAGCACGAAACUUGCCCCGAGAUGAGUUCUCCCUGACUCCUUGAGAGUCCUGAAGGAACGUUGAAGACGACGACGUUGAUAGGCCGGGUGUGUAAGCGCAGCGAUGCGUUGAGCUAACCGGUACUAAUGAGCCGUGAGGCUUAACCUU
rnacentral:rRNA from 1 species